UACGUAAGUGGCAAGCGUUGUCCGGAAUCACUGGGCGUAAAGAGCGUGUAGGCGGCCUCGUAAGUCUGGGGUGAAAUCCAUGGGCUCAACCCAUGAACUGCCCUGGAAACUGCGAAGCUCGAGGACCAGAGGGGAAUGUGGAAUUCCGGGUGUAGCGGUGAAAUGCGUAGAUAUCCGGGAGAACACCGAUGGCGAAGGCAGCAUUCUGGCUGGUUCCUGACGCUGAGACGCGAAAGCUAGGGUAGCGAACCGG
rnacentral:misc_RNA from 1 species